ACAACCCUACCAUUGUUGGGUCAAGUCAAGUUACCUUCAAUGUCACUAACGCUCCGCCGCCUACAGGUGCUACUGGAGGUGGAAACAAGGCCCCAGAUUCACAAAAACCUUAGUCUGGAGAUUCCACUUCAGAUUGAAUUCAGCUCUUUGAAAUCAGUUAUUAUAUGGAGCCGAAAGAAGCGAAUGCAGGAGAGCUGAGUUUCAAUUAGUAUCAAUCUAAUUCCAGGAUAACAUCCCGAGAUUUUUAUCAAUCACUCUUAGUUUUAAUAACGAAAAUACGAAACCGUAGAAGGGGCCAAACUAAUUAAAAACAAAAUCAUAAUUAGUAUUUCGCCGCUUUGACCUACUAUCUAGCCGCGGCAACUUAAUAUCUCGCCGCGGCGAGAAAGAAGGUCGCCACGGAGAGUCACUUUUUCAGCGAUAGAAACUCGCCGCUGUGAGACAGUAAGAGAUGGUGAGUCUCCGCGGCGAAAUGCCAAUUUUGAUUGUUUUUUAAAUUGCUUGAGGUCCUUCAACACUUAGAUAGAGACGGGCGCUCAACGUCCUUGUCUAAAUAAUAGCUAUUAACAUUCUGAUUAACACAUUCAGGGAUGACAAUAGAUAAUGCUCACUUCGAAAUAGUUGGAUUUAGUUUGAUUCUUAAAAGUUAGGAGAGCCUUUGCUUUAUUCUUUUUCUGUUAAUCCAUCAAAUGAAAAUCCAUCAAACAUAUAACUGUAUUGCUUUGUUUAACCCUAUCGGACCG